ensembl:ncRNA F58G11.9 ncRNA
UUUGCAAUUGUACCGCAAAUUUGUCUUUUUGUGUUGUUUUUUUAUUCUUAAUAUAGAAAAAUGGCAUAAAUGAUCAAAUAUAUUUUUUUGUAUAUCAAAAGAAUUAAAAAAUCGUAUCGAACCCGAAAAAAGUACAUGUUCCUGAAAUUC